rnacentral:rRNA from 1 species
CGUGCUUAACACAUGCAAGUCGAACGAGAAAGGUUUUCUUCGGAAAACGAGUAAAGUGGCGCACGGGUGAGUAACGCGUGAAUAAUCUACCCCUGAAUUUGGGAUAACAGUUCGAAAGGGCUGCUAAUACCGGAUAACAUUGUCUUUUUUUACGGAUUAGACAAUCAAAGAGGGCCUCUCCUUGGAAGCUUUUGUUUGGGGAUGAGUUCGCGUCCCAUUAGUUAGUUGGUGAGGUAACGGCUCACCAAGACAUCGAUGGGUAGCUGGUCUGAGAGGAUGAUCAGCCACACUGGAACUGACACACGGUCCAGACUCCUACGGGAGGCAGCAGUGAGGAAUUUUGCGCAAUGGGCGAAAGCCUGACGCAGCAACGCCGCGUGAGUGAUGAAGGCUCUUGGGUCGUAAAGCUCUGUCAAGUGGGAAGAAACCUCUUGGAGUUAAUACCUUCAAGACUUGACGGUACCACUGAAGGAAGCACCGGCUAACUCCGUG